rnacentral:lncRNA from 1 species
CCCCUUUUUUUAUAUCAUCUUUUGUACUUGAUGAUUUAGUUGUUAAAGAAAAGAACAUGUAUGUUGUGAAAGAUCUUUACAUUUAAAUGCAAGAAUGAUAUUUUGAGAUCAUGUGAUGUAAAAUAAAAAAAAUGAUGCAAAAAAAAUGUAAUCGAUUCCUUAAGUGUAGUUGUUUACUCUCACUCUUGGCUAUUGCUUGCCCUCGUGCAAGCCAUUGUGUAUGCUUUCGCUUAUACAAUUUUUAUACUCUAUCUGUACCUGUUAUUGAGCCUUGGGCGGACAGGGGAGGCUCUGUCCGUUCGGCGUCUGUUUCACGCUUUCAAACCGGCCAAAAAGGAUCGGGCUCGGGGCGUGACAAAAAGUGUGCCUUCAAGUCCUUAUACAUCUUGGUUCCAUCGGGGUGAACCGUAUAAGGUGAGUAAUGAGUCUCUCUCAAAAUCUCCUCUCGGAUCUCUGAAUUCAUAGGCACACACAAUCGGUCCCUGUACCGUAGUACUCCUGAACUGUCCAUAGAAAAAGUCUCUGGCUGUCCGCUUUCUAACAAACUUUUAAUUCCUCUUUAUUUCUACAAUAGAAAAUAAUUUAUGCUUAUCCAAAAAUCGAAGAGUAUCUACUGUGAAUCUAUAUUUUAAUUCAAAAUUUAUUUUAUUCUUCUUUAUCUUUAUCUAUAAUAUAUAUAUAUAUAUAUAUAUAGAGAGAGAGAGAGAGAGAGAGAGUCCGGCUGCUAUGCUAUCAAUAGCACCAAGCACUUGGUGCUAUCAAGUUUUCUGCCGUUAGAUUAACCCUUUGAUUAUUUUUACCCGUUAGAUUAUACUAUUCAACUAACCACCUACUCAACCCUAGGGCGCCCACAUCAUCCUAACUGCACAUCUCUUAAUCUAAGAGCGGAAAACUUAAUAGCACCAAGUUAUUGGUGCUAUUAAUAGUAUUCCAGCCUAGUUCUAUAUAUAUAUAUAUAUAUAUAUAUAUAUAUAUAUAUAAAUUAAAGAUAUAAUAAAAAUAAUUUAACCCAGAUUGGCUGACACGAUAGGGAAUGGACAGAAAGUGUAUGAAAAGUAUAUGAGUUAUUAAUAAGUGCCCAUUCGCAAUGCUUCUGAAUAACACUUGUACUUGCUACCAACUUUUUAAUCUUUAGUAGGGGCUUUGUUUAGUUCGGAUAUAAGUAAGAAUUAUCUAUUUCAGAGAUAAAUAUAAGUUUAAGAUAAAUCAAUUUUGCGUAUGAAAAUUGAGUUGCUCUCGAAAAUAAAAAAAAAAAUAGCGUUGCAUAGAUAAGAUAGAAUAACAAGAAUAAUAGUUAGAUAUAAAUAAAAAAUAAUGAUAUUGCCCCUAAU